AAAGAUUAAGCCAUGCAUGUCUAAAGUUCACGCCUUUACACGGCGAAACCGCGAAUGGCUNAUUANAUCAGCUAUUGUUUCUUAGAUCUUACCCAUGAUACAUGGAUAACUACAGUAAUUCUGGAGCUAAUACAUGCCAAUUAUGCCUUGGCUUUAUUGCUGAGGNNGGUUUAUUAGAUCAAAACCAAUCGGCUUUCGGGCUNUGGUUUUGAUKACUCUGGAUAACCAACCUAAUCGCAUGACCUUGCGUCGGCGAUGUAUCUUCCAAGUAUCUGACCUAUCAUCUGUCGAUGGUGAGUUAAACGCUCACCAUGGAGAUAACGGGUAACGGGGAAUCAGUGUUCGAUUCCGGAGAGGGAGCCUUAGAAACGGCUACCACAUCUAAGGAWGGCAGCAGGCGCGCAAAUUACCCACUCUCNGCGAGAGGAGGUAGUGACGAAAAAUAACGAUGCAAGACUCAUUAUGAGGCCUUGCAAUUGGAAUGAGUACAAUUUAAAUCCUUUAACGAGGAUNAAUUGGCGGGCAAGUUUGUUGCAUUGAAAAAGCUCGUAGUUNGAUCUAGGUGGGAGUCGUCGGUUUCAGCUUCGGCUVUUACUGUACGUGCUACUACCUUACACAGUCAUUAGACACUCUAUGGUGCUCUUUAUUGAGUGCUAUAGAGUGCAUGGCACGUUUACUUUGAAAAAAUUAAAGUGCUCAAAGCAGGCCUUAGUCUUGUAUACUCUUGCAUGGAAUAAUGGAAUAGGACUUCGGUUCUAUUUUGUUGGUUUUCGGACCCGGAGUAAUGAUUAAAAGAGUCUGACGGGGGCAUACGUAUUGUGGCGAUAGAGGUGAAAUUCUUGGACCGCCGCAAGACGACCUACUGCGAAAGCAUUUGCCAAGAAUGUCUUCAUUAAUCAAGAACGAAAGUCAGAGGUUCGAAGACGAUCAGAUACCGUCCUAGUUCUGACCAUAAACGUUGCCGACCCACAAUCAAGGGWGNNUGUUUUACUGACCCUCUUGGCUGUCCCUGGGAAACCUACAGAUUAAAAGCUCUUUCUUGAUUCCGUGGGUGNNNGUGCAUGGCCGUUCUUAGUUGGUGGAGUGAUUUGUCUGGUUAAUUCCGAUAACGAACGAGACUCUAACCUGCUAAAUAGNACGUCAGUAUUGACACUCUUCGGAGUNNNCANUGGCGSUGGCUUCUUAGAGGGAUACGCAGUAUUUAAACUACAAGAAAUAGAGCAAUAACAUGUCUGUGAUGCCCUUAGAUGUCNGGGGCCGCACGCGCGCUACAAUGACAGCUUCAGAGAGUUUUAAAACCUGGUCCAAAAGGAUUGGGAAAUCUUUGAAUGGCUGUCUCCUCAGGGAUUGGGGUUUGUAACUAUCCCCCAUGAACGAKKNAUUCCCAGUAGGCGCAAGUCAUCACUUGCGNNGAUUACGUCCCUG
rnacentral:rRNA from 1 species